CUCCGCCCCUUCCUUCCGCUUGGUUCUGUUGAAGGCAAAGCUGAUGGAGUUUGAGUUUGCCAUUGUAAACAGGGAGAGUGAAAAAUACGGCUCUGCGCAGUUCAGGUCCACAAUCAGAACCACAGGUCCACGACCAUGCUGAGAUUAGCAGGGACGAAACAAGCCUGGAACCCGCAGCUCCAUUCGAGUCUCAGUGUAAAGUCUCAAAUCCGGUCUCCUGGCUCUCGGGAUUUGCACAACCACAGCUCCUCACGCUGACCCAGGCAACCGGAAAUGACGUAAGCCAAUCCCGCCUCACUUAAGAGGGGCUGGGGUACAUGGUCGGAGGACCGCAGCUCCGUGGCAUUCCGGGAGACGACCUUGGCUGGAAUUCCUGCAGUCCAUCAAGCCACAACUGAUUGGAAAGACUGAUUGGUUGGAUCAGGCGGGCGGAGGCGCAGAAUCCACUUAAGUCACCGACCACGUAAAGUUCAUUGUAGUCUGCUAGACACCGAGAGCAAGAGGCCGCAGCAGAGGAGGUGUAGAGAAACCGACCCCCAAAGGGUGGCGUGCACUGCGGUCAAGCUCUAGUGGGGGGCUUUUUACGUUACUUAACUCUUUUAGGAAGAAGGCCUGAGGACUUUGUGUGAGGACUUGGGUGAAAGGCGGCCAAGCUCGUGGGCGGGGUCUGCAGGAAACGGCUGGGCCUGCAGAAAUGGGGCGGUGGGGCUUGAAAUGGGCAGAGUAGGCCGUGAUGCUGAAGGGUCUUGCGCCUCCAACUUUUCUCCGCCUCCUCUUUUCUUGCUACCGGAGGAGCCUCGGUCUUCUAACAUUGACCUUUCUUGCGACCUUGACAUCUGUGACCAUUUCCAUUGCCCAUACACAGCUUGGAAACAGCAAAUUCAGCACACCCUACACCGACUUCUGUAAAUCUUUUCACCUCCUUGCAUUCAUAAUUCUUCCAUUCAUCUUUCAUCUAUUUCUUCAUUCAGAACCUAUCUACCCAACCACCCAUGCUUUUUUUCUUCCAGUAUUGGGGAUUUGACCCAGAGUCUGGUGCAUUCAGGAGACACACUCUUCCAUUGAGCUACAGUCCCAUCCCAUUCAUUUGUAAUCAGUUCACACAUCAUACACAUUUGUCCUGCCGAGGCUCAGAUCCUGGGGAGUAGAUUCAGGAUCUGGGCAGGUGGAAGAAGAUGCAAGAUGCAGCUGGGAUAGUAGACAUACUUUAUUUAGAGAGGGCAGCAGCCUUUAAGCAGCCUCCAGUUCCAGCUUUAACCCCCCACCCCCACAACGAGUUCCAUUUAGCCCUCAUAGGCCUUUUUAUAUUGCAGAGCAGAGAAGGCACAUUGUCAGCAGGUUACAUCAGUGGGUGCAUGCUCAUAAACAAAUGUUUAUAACCUUGGGUAUGUAUGCUGAAUCAGAGUGUUUGUGAACUUGGCUACACACUUAAAAACAGUCUGUAGGAAGGCUUUGGGAGGGAACCUAAAUAGUCAUCCAGGGUGUACUCAUUGACAUCGAGAAACUGAUGUGACUCCAUUUUUGAGAAACCAGCCUCUAACUCAGAGCAAAGCCUGUCCACGGAAGAGGGCAUGGCCCUUGUCCUUGGAAAAACCCACAGAGCACUCCUAGGCACAUACCCACCCUGCUGAGUUGUUUGUCUGCAAAUAAUAGGAGAGAUCUGUGGCGCCAGGACCCAUAUAGCAACCCUCUAGCAACUACCAAUCAGCAUGAGACAGGGAAAAUACCUGGGAUGCCAGGUGACCCUCCCAGUAGUUUAUGGUGGUUGAUAACAUGUUGGGAAACUAUGUAGUUCAGCACGUACACCCCUCAUGGGUUAAACCAAUCAGUUCAAACGAAUCCCCCCCUUGUACUAACCAAUCACCCCUACCCAACUUGUUCCCGCCAGUGAAUGUGCUAAUCAUGUUUUAGAGUUGUUUUAUGAUUUUCCUGCGGUGUGUGAUGAUUUGCUAAGAGAUGCUGUGAUGUAUGUGAAGUCCCUGCCUUCCCCAAAGAGUGAAUAAAACUGCUGCAAACCCUGGA